UACGGGGGGGGCAAGCGUUGUUCGGAAUUACUGGGCGUAAAGGGCUUGUAGGCGGCCAACUAAGUCAGACGUGAAAUCCCUCGGCUUAACCGGGGAACUGCGUCUGAUACUGGAUGGCUUGAGUUUGGGAGAGGGAUGCGGAAUUCCAGGUGUAGCGGUGAAAUGCGUAGAUAUCUGGAGGAACACCGGUGGCGAAGGCGGCAUCCUGGACCAAUACUGACACUGAAAAGCGAAAGCCAGGGGAGCAAACGGG
rnacentral:rRNA from 1 species